rnacentral:rRNA from 1 species
ACGCUCGACACCUACGGGGGGCAGCGGUGGGGAAUAUUGCACAAUGGGGGAAACCCUGAUGCAGCGACGCCGCGUGAGCGAAGAAGUAUUUCGGUAUGUAAAGCUCUAUCAGCAGGGAAGAAACUGACGGUACCUGACUAAGAAGCACCGGCUAAAUACGUGCCGNAGCCGCGGUAAUCUGAGCGGGCGUGGCGAAGGCG